CGGUNUAAGUCCCUUGGAACGGGGCGUCAUAGAGGGUGAGAAUCCCGUAUGUGACCGGCGACCAAGCCCAUGUGAAACUCCUUCGACGAGUCGAGUUGUUUGGGAAUGCAGCUCAAAAUGGGUGGUAAAUUUCAUCUAAAGNUAAAUACCGGCCAGAGACCGAUAGCGCACAAGUAGAGUGAUCGAAAGAUGAAAAGCCACUUUGGAAAGAGAGUCAAAAAGUACGUGAAAUUGUUGAAAGGGAAGCGCUUGCAACCAGACCUGCCCGCGGGCGAUCCGCCAUUUUGCUGCAAAGUGGUGCACUCGACCGCGAUCAGGCCAGCAUCGGUUCGGGCGGCCGGAUAAAGGCCUUGGGAACGUAGCUCCUUUCGGGGAGUGUUAUAGCCCUCGGUGCAAUGCGGCCAGCCUGGACCGAGGACCGCGCUUCGGCUAGGAUGCUGGCGUAAUGGUCGUAAGCGGCCCGUCUUGAAACACGGACCAAGGAGUCUAACAUCUAUGCGAGUGUUUGGGUGUCAAACCCAUGCGCGUAAUGAAAGUGAACGGAGGUGGGAACCCUUUAAGCGGGGCGCACCAUCGACCGAUCCAGAUGUCUUCGGAUGGAUUUGAGUACGAGCAUAGCUGUUGGGACCCGAAAGAUGGUGAACUAUACUUGAAUAGGGUGAAGCCAGAGGAAACUCUGGUGGAGGCUCGCAGCGGUUCUGACGUGCAAAUCGAUCGUCAAAUUUGAGUAUAGGGGCGAAAGACUAAUCGANCCAUC
rnacentral:rRNA from 1 species